UUAAUAAAAAUCGGCGUGUUGCUCUUUUGUGACGUUCCGGAGUUUGGGUCAUCUUAUAACAACACCCUUUCAGGGUAUUAUUUUUAAGAGGCUUAAAAUUGACCUUUUUUGUGUAUUUUUAGACGUACAUAAAUUUUUUUUUAUUCGUCUAUCUUAAUGCCAAAAUCUAUUAGAUGCGACCAUAUCAUGUGGUUCCGUGUCUAUAAAUUUUUCAUG
rnacentral:misc_RNA from 1 species